CAGAAAGCGUCACACAUAAUUACUGAAAGCUUCUAUAAGUAAUCCGGCUUGAAGGCAUAAAAACGAAUUAUAAUAGACAGCCAGCUUCAAUGAGAAUUAAGUUUUCUCAGGUCUCUAUGGUUCUCUCAGAAUGAUUUUUUACACAUAUAAGUCUAUGUGUACAUCCUUAUAUGUCUAUGAUUUUACAC